GACGAACGCUGGCGGCGUGCCUAAUACAUGCAAGUGGGACGCAAGGGAACACACUGUGCUUGCACACCGUGUUUUCUUGAGUCGCGAACGGGUGAGUAACGCGUAGGUAACCUGCCUAUUAGCGGGGGAUAACUAUUGGAAACGAUAGCUAAUACCGCAUAAUAUUAAUUAUUGCAUGAUAAUUGAUUGAAAGAUGCAAGCGCAUCACUAGUAGAUGGACCUGCGUUGUAUUAGCUAGUUGGUAAGGUAAGAGCUUACCAAGGCGACGAUACAUAGCCGACCUGAGAGGGUGAUCGGCCACACUGGGACUGAGACACGGCCCAGACUCCUACGGGAGGCAGCAGUAGGGAAUUUUGGCA
rnacentral:rRNA from 1 species